UAUUUUAUUGUUUUUAUAUUUAUUUUUUGUAAAAUGUUUUAAUUUAUUUUGUUUUUUUUUUUGAAAUAUCAAAAAUUUGGUUUUUGAACUGGAUUAGUACCCAGGUAAUCAAAGUUUAUUAAUUCGGGAGUAAAGUUUUGUUUAAACCGAAAAAAUAUUGACGGACCUUGGAUUUUUCUUUGGAACAUGKGUUUUUAUUGGAAAGCCCUCUUUUUUGGUAAAUUUUGUUGGCACAUGUAUGAUUGUUUAGUUUUUAUUUUAUAUUGAAAGGCUUUUGUUUUGGCUUUUAAAACARAUAUAUAUUUGGCUUAUAAAUUUAUUUUUCAKGKGUUACUAUUAUAAAUUUUUUUUGGAUUAAUUUUUUAUUUUUUUUUGAAAUUGRAAAAAAAAGWAAUUUUUUCUUGAKGUU
rnacentral:rRNA from 1 species